CGACGGCCGCUCCGCCCGGGCUCGCGCCCUAGGUUUUGCAGUGGCCGCCGCGCCCUCCUACUCAUCGGGGCAUGGCGCUUGCCCAGAUGGCCGGGUGUGGGUCGCGCGCUUCAGCGCCAUCCAUUUUCGGGGCUAGUUGAUUCGGCAGGUGAGUUGUUACACACUCCUUAGCGGAUUUCGACUUCCAUGACCACCGUCCUGCUGUCUUAAUCGACCAACACCCUUUGUGGGU